rnacentral:rRNA from 1 species
GAUGAACGCUAGCGGGAGGCCUAACACAUGCAAGCCGAGCGGUAUUGUUUCUUCGGAAAUGAGAGAGCGGCGUACGGGUGCGGAACACGUGUGCAACCUGCCUUUAUCUGGGGGAUAGCCUUUCGAAAGGAAGAUUAAUACUCCAUAAUAUAUUGAACGGCAUCGUUUAAUAUUGAAAGCUCCGGCGGAUAGAGAUGGGCACGCGCAAGAUUAGCUAGUUGGUGAGGUAACGGCUCACCAAGGCGAUGAUCUUUAGGGGGCCUGAGAGGGUGAUCCCCCACACUGGUACUGAGACACGGACCAGACUCCUACGGGAGGCAGCAGUGAGGAAUAUUGGUCAAUGGGUGCAAGCCUGAACCAGCCAUCCCGCGUGAAGGACGACUGCCCUAUGGGUUGUAAACUUCUUUUGUAUAGGGAUAAACCUACCCUCGUGGGGGUAGCUGAAGGUACUAUACGAAUAAGCACCGGCUAACUCCGUGCCAGCAGCCGCAGUAACAC